CAGGGGAAAAGAUGUCUAUCACAGAUCUAUAGCUCUGGAAGCAAUAAUACAAAUGAGAGCUCAGAUGAGGGAUGACUUAUAGCAUUUUCCUAGCUCCCAAUUCAGCAUGUUUUCCACAAUAACAAGAUCAGGGUACAGACUGUGUGACAUUAUCUCUAUAGGAACACAACCUAAUCAUGUGGCACUAUGACACCAUGAGGCAAUGUGAAAAUGCAUUUUGGAAAAGAUAUUGAAUUUGUAUGCCAUAGACAAAAGGAAGCAAAUGCA
rnacentral:lncRNA from 1 species